rnacentral:rRNA from 1 species
GCAUAUCAAUAAGCGGAGGAAAAGAAACUAACAAGGAUUCCCCUAGUAGCGGCGAGCGAAGCGGGAAAAGCUCAAAUUUGUAAUCUGGCGCCUUCGGCGUCCGAGUUGUAAUCUCGAGAAGUGUUUUCCGUGAUAGACUGCAUACAAGUCCCUUGGAACAGGGCGUCAUAGUGGUGAGAACCCAGUACACGAUGCAGAUGCCUAUUACUUUGUGAUACACUUUCGAAGAGUCGAGUUGUUUGGGAAUGCAGCUCAAAUUGGGUGGUAAAUUCCAUCUAAAGCUAAAUAUUGGCGAGAGACCGAUAGCGAACAAGUACCGUGAGGGAAAGAUGAAAAGCACUUUGGAAAGAGAGUUAACAGUACGUGAAAUUGUUGGAAGGGAAACACAUGCAGUGAUACUUGCUAUUCGGGGCAACUCGAUUGGCAGGCCCGCAUCAGUUUUUCGGGGCGGAAAAUCGUAGAGAGAAGGUAGCAGUUUCGGCUGUGUUAUAGCUCUUUGCUGGAUUCGCCCUGGGGGACUGAGGAACGCAGCGUGCUUUUUGCAUGAGCUUCGGCUUAUCCACGCUUAGGAUGCGGGUUUCAUGGCUGUAUAUGACCCGUCUUGAAACACGGACCAAGGAGUCUAACAUGCUUGCGAGUAUUUGGGUGUCAAACCCGGAUGCGCAAUGAAAGUGAAUGGAGGAGGGAAGCGCAAGCUGCACCUUCGACCGAUCUGGAUUUUUUAAGAUGGAUUUGAGUAAGAGCAAGUAUGUUGGGACCCGAAAGAUGGUGAACUAUGCCUGAAUAGGGCGAAGCCAGAGGAAACUCUGGUGGAGGCUCGUAGCGGUUCUGACGUGCAAAUCGAUCGUCAAAUUUGGGUAUAGGGGCGAAAGACUAAUCGAACCAUCUAGUAGCUGGUUCUGCCGA